GACAGAGGGUGCAAACGUUGCUCGGAAUUACUGGGCGUAAAGCGCGUGUAGGCGGUCACGCAAGUCAGGUGUGAAAGCCCUGGGCUCAACCCAGGAAGUGCACAUGAUACUACGUGGCUGGAGUACUGAAGAGGAGAGCGGAAUUCCCGGUGUAGAGGUGAAAUUCGUAGAUAUCGGGAGGAACACCAGUGGCGAAGGCGGCUCUCUGGGCAGAUACUGACGCUGAGACGCGAAAAGCGUGGGGAGCGAACAGG
rnacentral:rRNA from 1 species